UCUUUUGGUGUGUUCAACAGGUUCACUAACAACCAAUUCACAAGGCAUUAUAGUCUGAUCACACGGCGCGAAUAUUUGUAAUUUCAGUUGCAAUUUUGCUUAUUCAAUUCGUUUCAAUAUUUUUUGGCAAUAUAUCUAAUAUUCGUUGUGUAAAUACUAAGCACAACACAACACACUAGACUGUCAAGUAAACUGUCUUUCCAAGGGAAUGGAGUUUCAGCUUUUGCGAAGCCUUUUUAAUUCUUUAGUCGUAAAAUUUCAAAAUAGUGCCGUAUUUAUUGAACUGCGACCAGGAGAGCAGUACGCCAGCUGGAACUACUAAAACGACUGCAAUAUCCGGAAGCAAUUAAAAGUGUGUAGUUAAAGAUGUACAUAUUUAAAUAAAGUAUCUUAAAGAAAAACAAAAAUAACAUUCAUUAGCAAUAUGUGUCCGGAUAUAAUUGCAUGGGUCAACACAUUAAAAACGGAAUAAGCAAGUAUCUUUUUCCGAAACUCAUGCAAUUUUCCAAAAGUUAUAGGUUGCCUAGAUGAAAAAAGAAAAUUUAUUAGUACAUUUGUCGGACAUCCAGGCUCCUGUUAUGACAUUUGGGUCUUACAAAACUCUCCUAUUUUUUUGCUACUACCAUCGAAAUGUGGAGAAUAUUAUCUGCUGGCUGAUUCCGCAUACCCCUGCACAGAACUUACUCGUGCACAAAAGAAUUUUAAUAGGAAAUUGGAAUCAGGUCAAAUACUAAUAGAAAAUGCAUUUGGCAUUUUAAAACAACGUUUUAGACAGCUGUACUACUGUAAAUUGAAAGGAGUUGAAAAACUGUGUCACUUUAUUAGGGCAAGUUGCGUUUUGCACAAUAUUGCAAAUGAAAAUGA